rnacentral:rRNA from 1 species
AUUGAACGCUGGCGGCAUGCCUUACACAUGCAAGUCGAACGGUAACGGGCCUUCGGUUUCCGACGAGUGGCGAACGGGUGCGUAAUACAUCGGAAUGUGCCCGCUCGUGGGGGAUAACGAGGCGAAAGCUUUGCUAAUACCUCAUACGAUCUACGGAUGAAAGCCGGGGACCGCAAGGCCUUGCGCUGACGUUGCGGCCGAUGGCAGAUUAGGUAGUUGGUGGGAUAAAAGCUUACCAAGCCGACGAUCUGUAGCUGGUCUGAGAGGAUGAUCAGCCACACUGGGACUGAGACACGGCCCAGACUCCUACGGGAGGCAGCAGUGGGGAAUUUUGGACAAUGGGCGCAAGCCUGAUCCAGCCAUGCCGCGUGCAGGAUGAAGGCCUUCGGGUUGUAAACUGCUUUUGUACGGAACGAAAAGCCUUCUUUUAAUACAGGAGGGUCAUGACGGUACCGUAAGAAUAAGCACCGGCUAACUACGUG